AACACAGGAGAUACAGAGGACAAAAGUGAUCCCAAAUGCUGUGUGACGCAACAUACAGGACCACUCAGUGGGGCGACCAAUGAAAGUGCUGCUAUGACUGUAACUGAAUAUUGCCAUGUUGAGGCCUGGACCCUUCUCAAACGUGUGAAGUCUGGGGCAGGUUGGACACUGUUUGACUUUGAGUCACAGAAGCUUCCUGUUCCAUGGUGGCGCUAUGACUGUAACUGAAUAUUGGCAUGGAAAUGUUUUCAGGCCAGGACACUUAUCAAACAUGUGAAGCAUGGGGAAGAUUGGAGAUUGUAAGCAUGAGUUAGAACAACUUCAUGUUUUAUGGCGAAAACACAAAAAUUUGUCAGGCCACCACGGACAGACCCUCCAAUGAAAAGUCAAUAUCUCUGCAAUUUAGCAUCACAAAGGCCUUUAGAAGAGACUGACCAAAUAUGAUGAUGAUCUUAUUAAAUCUCUAGGAGAAGUUCGUUAAAGUACAGUGCUUGGAAAUGUAAAAAAAUUACAGAGAAAAUUCAAAAUGGCUGACUUCCUGUGGGGUUUAGAGCUUGGCUCCAAGAGAUUUUUUGUCUUGGAGUGGUAUAUGAUCCUACCAAAUUUCAUACCAGAACGUUUAACAGAGUGAGGGGGCUGUUCUCUUGAAUAUUUGUAGGUGGCGCUCUCGAGCCAUUUCUACACAGCCAAUUGUGCAACCUAUACAACAUGUACAUUUUUGGCACUUAUGACACGUGUGCAAAUUUCAUGAGUUUUUGAGUCAUUUCAUAAAAUAAUAUUAACUGAGCAAAAACAAUAGGGCCGUUCUGCAUCCAAACUUUUUGCAAUUAAAUAUUUUUGUCCUACUUAGAUUUUGUUGAUAUAUUUUGAAUUUAUAACAAAUUAGUUCUUUAAUGAUAAUAGGGUUUGCUGUGCUAAAAACUUCUGACCAUUCAUCAAAACAAUGACAGACAUUUAAAGAACAGCUAAGAGUAAGAUGAAAUUUGAAUGGAAAGGUUUUGCAUUAUUGCCUUAAAUUCAAAGAUCUAAUGAUCUAAUUGAAGCCAAAUGUAAAAUGCCUUUGAGAUUAAAAUUGAAAAAAGUUACACCAUGAUGAAAUAAAAUUAAAUAGAUCUAAAGUUCUCAGCAAAUCAUAUGUAUUAAUAUUGUACAAAGUGUAAUAAAAGUGUGGACUGGCAAAUCUGUACCAUUUAACAAUAAUUGUUUUGUGCUGUGAUAUAAGAUAAAUAUAUAUGGCAAUAUUUUGUGUGAGUUUGCUCACCUGCUGUAUCUGUACAUAUAUGAAUUGUAUGUCUUUGCUAUUAAAUUGACAUGUGUAACAGCACCCAUAGAAACAUUAGACAAUGUGGCUUUGUUUAAAAUGAUUUGGCAGCAUUAAGCUAUUAUAUCAUGUAAUCUUGUGUAUUACAAAAAAU